rnacentral:rRNA from 1 species
UACAGAGGUCUCAAGCGUUGUUCGGAUUCAUUGGGCGUAAAGGGUGCGUAGGUGGCGCCGUAAGUCAGGUGUGAAAUUUCGGAGCUUAACUCCGAAACUGCAUUUGAUACUGCGGUGCUUGAGGACUGGAGAGGAGACUGGAAUUCACGGUGUAGCAGUGAAAUGCGUAGAUAUCGUGAGGAAGACCAGUGGCGAAGGCGGGGUCUCUGGACAGUUCCUGACACUGAGGCACGAAGGCUAGGGGGAGCGAAACGGG